UUAAGCGACUAAGCGUACACGGUGGAUGCCCUGGCAGUCAGAGGCGAUGAAGGACGUGCUAAUCUGCGAUAAGCGCCGGUAAGGUGAUAUGAACCGUUAUAACCGGCGAUUUCCGAAUGGGGAAACCCAGUGUGAUUCGUCACACUAUCAUUAACUGAAUCCAUAGGUUAAUGAGGGCGAACCGGGGGAACUGAAACAUCUAAGUACCCGAGGAAAAGAAAUCAACCGAGAUUCCCCCAGUAGCGGCGAGCGAACGGGGAGGAGCCCAGAGCCUGAAUCAGCAUGUGUGUUAGUGGAAGCGUCUGGAAAGGCGCGCGAUACAGGGUGACAGCCCCGUACACAAAAGCGCAUAUGCUGUGAGCUCGAUGAGUAGGGCGGGACACGUGGUAUCCUGUCUGAAUAUGGGGGGACCAUCCUCCAAGGCUAAAUACUCCUGACUGACCGAUAGUGAACCAGUACCGUGAGGGAAAGGCGAAAAGAACCCGGCGAGGGGAGUGAAAAAGAACCUGAAACCGUGUACGUACAAGCAGUGGGAGCACAGGUUUACCUGUGUGACUGCGUACCUUUUGUAUAAUGGGUCAGCGACUUAUAUUCUGUAGCAAGGUUAACCGAAUAGGGGAGCCGGAGGGAAACCGAGUCUUAAUUGGGCGUUAAGUUGCAGGGUAUAGACCCGAAACCCGGUGAUCUAGCCAUGGGCAGGUUGAAGGUUGGGUAACACUAACUGGAGGACCGAACCGACUAAUGUUGAAAAAUUAGCGGAUGACCUGUGGCUGGGGGUGAAAGGCCAAUCAAACCGGGAGAUAGCUGGUUCUCCCCGAAAGCUAUUUAGGUAGCGCCUCGUGAAUUCAUCUCCGGGGGUAGAGCACUGUUUCGGCUAGGGGGCCAUCCCGGCUUACCAACCCGAUGCAAACUGCGAAUACCGGAGAAUGUUAUCACGGGAGACACACGGCGGGUGCUAACGUCCGUCGUGAAGAGGGAAACAACCCAGACCGCCAGCUAAGGUCCCAAAGUCAUGGUUAAGUGGGAAACGAUGUGGGAAGGCCCAGACAGCCAGGAUGUUGGCUUAGAAGCAGCCAUCAUUUAAAGAAAGCGUAAUAGCUCACUGGUCGAGUCGGCCUGCGCGGAAGAUGUAACGGGGCUAAACCAUGCACCGAAGCUGCGGCAGCGACACUGUGUGUUGUUGGGUAGGGGAGCGUUCUGUAAGCCUGCGAAGGUGGCCUGUGAGGGUUGCUGGAGGUAUCAGAAGUGCGAAUGCUGACAUAAGUAACGAUAAAGCGGGUGAAAAGCCCGCUCGCCGGAAGACCAAGGGUUCCUGUCCAACGUUAAUCGGGGCAGGGUGAGUCGACCCCUAAGGCGAGGCCGAAAGGCGUAGUCGAUGGGAAACGGGUUAAUAUUCCCGUACUUGGUGUUACUGCGAAGGGGGGACGGAGAAGGCUAUGUUGGCCGGGCGACGGUUGUCCCGGUUUAAGCGUGUAGGUGUGUGUUCCAGGUAAAUCCGGUUCACUUUAACACUGAGGCGUGACGACGAGGCACUACGGUGCUGAAGCAACAAAUGCCCUGCUUCCAGGAAAAGCCUCUAAGCAUCAGGUAACAUCAAAUCGUACCCCAAACCGACACAGGUGGUCAGGUAGAGAAUACCAAGGCGCUUGAGAGAACUCGGGUGAAGGAACUAGGCAAAAUGGUGCCGUAACUUCGGGAGAAGGCACGCUGACACGUAGGUGAAGUGAUUUACUCAUGGAGCUGAAGUCAGUCGAAGAUACCAGCUGGCUGCAACUGUUUAUUAAAAACACAGCACUGUGCAAACACGAAAGUGGACGUAUACGGUGUGACGCCUGCCCGGUGCCGGAAGGUUAAUUGAUGGGGUCAGCGCAAGCGAAGCUCCUGAUCGAAGCCCCGGUAAACGGCGGCCGUAACUAUAACGGUCCUAAGGUAGCGAAAUUCCUUGUCGGGUAAGUUCCGACCUGCACGAAUGGCGUAAUGAUGGCCAGGCUGUCUCCACCCGAGACUCAGUGAAAUUGAACUCGCUGUGAAGAUGCAGUGUACCCGCGGCAAGACGGAAAGACCCCGUGAACCUUUACUAUAGCUUGACACUGAACAUUGAGCCUUGAUGUGUAGGAUAGGUGGGAGGCUUUGAAGUGUGGACGCCAGUCUGCAUGGAGCCGACCUUGAAAUACCACCCUUUAAUGUUUGAUGUUCUAACGUGGACCCGUAAUCCGGGUUGCGGACAGUGUCUGGUGGGUAGUUUGACUGGGGCGGUCUCCUCCUAAAGAGUAACGGAGGAGCACGAAGGUUGGCUAAUCCUGGUCGGACAUCAGGAGGUUAGUGCAAUGGCAUAAGCCAGCUUGACUGCGAGCGUGACGGCGCGAGCAGGUGCGAAAGCAGGUCAUAGUGAUCCGGUGGUUCUGAAUGGAAGGGCCAUCGCUCAACGGAUAAAAGGUACUCCGGGGAUAACAGGCUGAUACCGCCCAAGAGUUCAUAUCGACGGCGGUGUUUGGCACCUCGAUGUCGGCUCAUCACAUCCUGGGGCUGAAGUAGGUCCCAAGGGUAUGGCUGUUCGCCAUUUAAAGUGGUACGCGAGCUGGGUUUAGAACGUCGUGAGACAGUUCGGUCCCUAUCUGCCGUGGGCGCUGGAGAACUGAGGGGGGCUGCUCCUAGUACGAGAGGACCGGAGUGGACGCAUCACUGGUGUUCGGGUUGUCAUGCCAAUGGCACUGCCCGGUAGCUAAAUGCGGAAGAGAUAAGUGCUGAAAGCAUCUAAGCACGAAACUUGCCCCGAGAUGAGUUCUCCCUGAGACUUAGAGUCUCCUGAAGGAACGUUGAAGACGACGACGUUGAUAGGCCGGGUGUGUAAGCGCAGCGAUGCGUUGAGCUAACCGGUACUAAUGAACCGUGAGGCUUAACCUU
rnacentral:rRNA from 1 species